CUGGAGGAGGAGGUGGCGGCGGAGGACGAAGAAAAUAGAACAAAAGUACCUGCAAAUGAAACUACGAUACGGCUGUAAAAGACGGGUCAUCUUUUCCUGUAAACAUUUUAAGCUGAGAAUUUAUUAAUAGUUUUCACUGACUUAUUUUCUUGCAUAGCUAUAUGUUUGAAAUAUGAACUAACCGUAUCCUUUGUUUUUUCUAUAAUUGUAUAAUAAAAAAUAAACCAGAAUCAUUAUUUUAUUUUCCUCAAAAUGAGAAUCUGUAAAAGUAUAAAUUUAUUGGAAAUAAAAACAUUUUUGUCUGCAAGUUCAGAUAAUCAUUGAGGAUUAAGUAAUAUCUACUGUGUAGUAAUUUUAUCUGGGGAUUAGCCAUCUGGGGUCUAGGGCUGUAUUGUACAUCAUGAGUGUAGAAACUUUAUAUUCUGCCUGAGGCCAAUGUAUGCUAUGGUCAAAUAAGGAAGUGGAUUAGCCAGUUAUUGGGAGGGACAAUUAAGAUCAGAUUAUUGCAUGAACUUGGACAUGCAGUCAUUCAGCUAAUUUCUCUGAAAGAGGAAACAUCUUUUAUUUGAAACUUGGAAAAUAUUUUGUAACUUUUUGCAAAAACCCACCCAUCUUCCACCCAAUUUUAAUGACAGUUUAAAUCAUUAAUUUUUACUGUUAUUAUUUUAUCAUCUUGAGAUACUAGAUAUGUGAUGCUUCACAAGAUUAUUUUUAUUGUAUUUGUAGUAGUAUUUUACUAUUUGUUCCUGUAAUGUAUGAUAUACUGGUUGGGGCAUUUUCUAAACCCCACCUUUGCUUUUUAAUGUCAUUGUUAUUUAUUUGCUACUAUUGAUAUUGUUAAUAUGUCAUUCUCAAUUAAUGAUAAAUUUUGAAUAAAUGACAUUUUGCUCAA